rnacentral:rRNA from 1 species
UACGGAGGAUGCAAGCGUUAUCCGGAAUCAUUGGGCGUAAAGCGUUCGUAGGUGGCUUUUCAAGUCUGCUGUCAAAGCACAAGGCUUAACCUUGUAAAGGCAGUGGAAACUGAAAUGGCUAGAGUGCGGUAGGGGUAGAGGGAAUUCCCAGUGUAGCGGUGAAAUGCGUAGAGAUUGGGAAGAACCCCGGUGGCGAAAGCGCUCUACUGGGCCUGCACUGACACUGAGGGACGAAAGCUAGGGGAGCGAAAGGG